CCUAAAGUGGUGUAGUGGUAACACGCCAAGGUGACUGCUAUUCGGGGGCGGAGGAGUCCCAGGUUCGAUUCCUGGCUUUGGGG